AAAUUGAAGAGUUUGAUCAUGGCUCAGAUUGAACGCUGGCGGCAGGCCUAACACAUGCAAGUCGAACGGUAACAGGAAGCAGCUUGCUGCUUUGCUGACGAGUGGCGGACGGGUGAGUAAUGUCUGGGAAACUGCCCGAUGGAGGGGGAUAACUACUGGAAACGGUAGCUAAUACCGCAUAACGUCGCAAGACCAAAGAGGGGGACCUUCGGGCCUCUUGCCAUCGGAUGUGCCCAGAUGGGAUUAGCUAGUAGGUGGGGUAAUGGCUCACCUAGGCGACGAUCCCUAGCUGGUCUGAGAGGAUGACCAGCCACACUGGAACUGAGACACGGUCCAGACUCCUACGGGAGGCAGCAGUGGGGAAUAUUGCACAAUGGGCGCAAGCCUGAUG
rnacentral:rRNA from 1 species